CCUACGGGAGGCUGCAGUGGGGAAUAUUGGACAAUGGGCGAAAGCCUGAUCCAGCCAUGCCGCGUGUGUGAAGAAGGCCUUCGGGUUGUAAAGCACUUUCGGUGGGGAAGAAAGCCUUGGGGCUAAUACCCUCGAGGAAGGACAUCACCCACAGAAGAAGCACCGGCUAACUCCGUGCCAGCAGCCGCGGUAAUACGGAGGGUGCGAGCGUUAAUCGGAAUUACUGGGCGUAAAGCGCGCGUAGGCGGUCUGAUAAGCCGGUUGUGAAAGCCCCGGGCUCAACCUGGGAACGGCAUCCGGAACUGUCAGGCUAGAGUGCAGGAGAGGAAGGUAGAAUUCCCGGUGUAGCGGUGAAAUGCGUAGAGAUCGGGAGGAAUACCAGUGGCGAAGGCGGCCUUCUGGACUGACACUGACGCUGAGGUGCGAAAGCGUGGGUAGCAAACAGGAUUAGAUACCCUGGUAGUC
rnacentral:rRNA from 1 species